GCGGGGGUGCCCGAGCUAGGUCAAAGGGGGCGGUCUGGGACUCCGCUGGCGUAGGCCUGCCCGGGUUCGAAUCCCGGCCCCCGCACCA
rnacentral:tRNA from 1 species